rnacentral:rRNA from 1 species
CCUACGGGAGGCUGCAGUGGGGAAUAUUGCACAAUGGGGGAAACCCUGAUGCAGCGACGCCGCGUGAGUGAAGAAGUAAUUCGUUAUGUAAAGCUCUAUCAGCAGGGAAGAAAAUGACGGUACCUGAGUAAUACUCCCCGGCUAACUACGUGCCAGCAGCCGCGGUACUACGGAGGGUGCGAGCGUUAAUCGGAAUUACUGGGCGUAACGCGCUCGUAGGCGGUAUGUCAAGUCAAGGGUGAAAUCCCCGCGCUCAACGUGGGAACUGCCUUUGAAACUGGCAAACUGGAGUGUGUGAGAGGAGAGUGGAAUUCCAGGUGUAGGAGUGAAAUCCGUAGAUAUCGGGAGGAACAUCAGUGGCGAAGGCGACUAGCUGGCACAUAACUGACGCUGAGGAGCGAAAGCGUGGGUAGCAAACAGGAUUAGAUACCCGGGUAGUC